UACGUAGGGGGCAAGCGUUGUCCGGAUUUAUUGGGCGUAAAGAGCGUGUAGGCGGCUUGGUAGGUCCGCUGUGAAAACUCGAGGCUCAACCUCGAGAUGUCGGCGGAAACCACUUGGCUAGAGUACGGUAGAGGGGGAUGGAAUUCCGCGUGUAGCAGUGAAAUGCGUAGAUAUGCGGAGGAACACCGAUGGCGAAAGCGAGUCCCUGGACAACUCCUGACACUGAGGCACGAAAGCUAGGGGAGCAAACAGG
rnacentral:rRNA from 1 species